AGCAGCCGCGGUAAUUCCAGCUCCAAUAGCGUAUAUUAAAGUUGUUGCAGUUAAAAAGCUCGUAGUUGAAUUUCGGGAUUAGUAGGUUGGUCGUGCCUCUGGUAUGUACUCGCCUUACUGAUUCCUCCUUCUUGAAGAACUGUAAUGCCAUUAAUUUGGUGUUGCAGGGAAACAGGACUGUUACUUUGAAAAAAUUAGAGUGUUUAAAGCAGGCCAUUGCCUGAAUACAUUAGCACGGAAUAAUGAAAUAGGACGUUGAUCCUAUUUUGUUGGUUUCUAGGGUUGACGUAAUGAUUAAUAGGGAUAGUUGGGGGCAUUAGUAUUCAAUUGUCAGAGGUGAAAUUCUUGGAUUUAUUGAAGACUAACUACUGCGAAAGCAUUUGCCAAGGAUGUUUUCAUUAAUCAAGGACGAAAGUUAGGGGAUCGAAGACGAUCAGAUACCGUCGUAGUCUUAACCAUAAACUAUGCCGACUAGGGAUCGGAUGAUGUUAAUUUUUAAUGACUCAUUCGGCGCCUUACG
rnacentral:rRNA from 1 species